rnacentral:lncRNA from 11 species
AUGCUGCUUUUCCACUCUGAGGAGUUUUCUUUCAGUACACAACUGAACAUAAGCAGCUACAGCCUCCAUCUGCCUAUCACUGCCAAACACCUGGGUGAAACAGAGAAAAAGGAAAUAAAAGGAAACUUCACACAGUUUGUUCCAGAGGCAACCCAACACCUCCUGGGUGCCUUUCUGACGGUUUGUGUGAUACUAGAAUGCUCAGCAUUAAUCUGGACCCCACUGUGUCAUAUCAUCUUCUUCACUUCUCCAAGACAGAUGUUGCUGCAACUUGCUGCCAAGAUCAAUAUAUUGGUUCAUAAGUGGCAUUCUUUGAAAGACUUUAUUGGAUUAAAAUUGUUAUUUUUGUAUUUUGCUGAACAUUUGCAUUUAUUGAGAGUGAUAAUUUCCUGUAAACAGGACUAGAUCAUGAACUAGGCACAGUAAUAAAGUCUUCAUCCUAUAAUGAUAUCUGUGAAAGGGUGAACACGGUAAUGGAGAAGGGCUUUUUUAAGGAACAAGGCUUCCAUUAGGUAUAACAAAACAUCAAUUUCAGGAGGCAGAAAGGAGAACUAAAAAAAAUCAAAGUGAUUCUAGGCUGCACUAAUAGGAGUAUAGUGUCUAGUUCCAGGGGAGUAAUAGUACUACUCAAUUCUGCUCUGAUCAGACUUCACCAGGAAUGCUAUGUUGAGUUUUGGGCACCACAGGUCAGGAAAGCAAUUGACAAGCUGGAACGCAUCUAGGGGAGAGCGACCAAAAUGAUCAAAGGUUUGGAAACCAAGUACUAUGAGGGGAAUGUUAGGAAGCUGGAUAUGUUUAGGAUGGAAAGGAAAAGGUUAAGAGAGGACAUGAUAUACAUGUUUAAAUAUUUGAAAGGAUAUCAUAUGAAGGAAGAGGAAAGCUUGUUUUCUGUGGCUGUGUAGACUAGAACUUGGAGUAAUGGAUUCAAACUGCAUAAAGAGAAAUUCCAUUAAAACACUCAACUUCCUGAUGACAAGAGCUGUUCAACAUUGGAAUAUGCUGCCUUGGAGUUUGUUGGACUCUCCUUCUGUGGAGGUUUUUAAAUCAGAGACUCUAUGACCAUUUGUUGGGAGUGCUUUGAUUGUGUUUUCCUGCAUGGCAGGGGGUUGGAUUGGACUGGAUGCUCCUUAGUAUAUUUUCCAAUUCUAUGGAAUUCUAUGAUUUCAUAAGAGAUCAAGUGUUAUUGUAAAAAAAAAACCAAUAUAUUUAAUCAGAAUUCAAUUUUUUACACUAAACCUUGGUUUUACUCCCCAAAGCAAUUGCUGUACAAAUUCAUUUUUGCACACAUACAAAUAAUUAAGAUUCCAGAAAUGUAAUCUUUUUUUAAGAAAAAGCAAAAGCAAAAAAAGAGUGUCCUGAUGUGUGAAGACACUAUUUCUCCUGAAGAUGCUAUAUAUGAGAAUAUCCUUUGCAUUCAUAUGGUGAAAUAAUCCCUGUUGGAAUCCAGUUCAGAUGUGUUGGUUGGGUUAUCACUAGUAACAGACACUUCCAGAACUGUUGAGACUCUGCAGCUAUUUGACUGCUUGUGUUGAUAUAAAAGUAUGUGAGAGAUAAUUUAUGCUGGUUUCAAAACCCAUUUUUUCUCAGCAUAGAACUGUCAUCUGGUUUUUGGACCCAAUUUUUAUAAACUUUUAUAAACUUUUAUGAGGCUUCUGCACCAAGGGAUGAUGGGUUCUGUAAGAAGUAAAUUAUACGAUUUCAUAUAAUUGAGUUCCUUGUGAUUGGAUGGAGAGCAUUCAAAUCAUAAUACUUUUGACCCAGAACUCUCAUUGUUCCCUCUUGCUACCAACUAACCUCUCUCAGAGAUUUCACCAGGAAAAGUCAUGGUUUGACCCCAUCAUUGAUCUGCUUCUCAGCAGCAAUAACACAUCUUUAACUUCCAAGCCCUCAUUACAAUUGCUUCAAAUGAAUGCAUAUAUCUUGGCAUCGUAGUGUACAUUACAUUCCUUGUGUAUGUGUAUUUGAACUGUAUCUUUAUCUUGCUGGCUUUAUAUUUAUUUCAUUAGUACUGCAUUAAAAAUGCAGACUAGGCUCCAAAUUCUACAAACAGAUUUGCUCAUUUGUCCUUGGAAGGUAACAAGAACGGUGCAAAUGUCUCAAAAGAGAGAAUUGGCUUCUGUUCAUCCAGAAUCCAUACUGUAAUGCUUAGUUUCCUGUUUGCAUAUGUAACAGAUGCAGUAGUGUCUUCAGAUUCUUUCCAUACCUUCAAAAAUAUCCGCACUAUAUAUGCUUGUACUGUGGGUCUGGAGUUUAUAUCUGUCAAAUCUGGCUGCACAUGGAAGAAACAUGAUGCUAAAAUAUGCAGCGAGCAUGAGAACUGUAUGAAUGCGAAGCCCUGUAAUUGAACUCAUGAAAAGACUCCACCAUUGACCAACUGUAAGGCAUCCAUUUGAUGCAUCCAUGCUGUCAGUGAAGCUGUUGGCUACCAGAGUGACUAUCAAUAAAGACUUUUCCUCUAAAUGACUUGCUUCAGUUUGUUCAGGCCACUGUUCACUUACUGUCUGCAUUUUAUUGCACCCUGAAGACGAAAGCAUUCUGAUUGGUUCAUAAAAUAACCAUUGUAGAUUAAAAAAAGAAGAAGAAGAAGCAAAUAUAAUGCAAUGCAAUGCAAUAUGUGUUCUGUUGUUGUCAUCUUUACUAGUGUUUUCAAACAAUUUUACCUAAGUGUUUUUAAUAGAUUUUUAAAAAGCUUUGUGUCAAAUAGGUUUUAGUAGUAUUCUUUUCAAUUUGUACCAGGAGAAAGUUAGGAUGCAAAUUAAACUAGCAAACAAAUUAUAAACAAAUAAAUAUAAAAUAUAAAACAAAUUAAAACAAAUACGCAAUUGAAACUAAGAUGAGAGCAUUACCAUAAGAGAAUCUGCAAGAGCAGUUGGAAAAUUUAAAAACACCUUUUUACAAUGAAAGUUUAAAAGUUCUGGGAGAAUGAAGUAUAUUCACUAAGCAACAAAAGUGCCAUGACUGGUAAAUUUGUCUGGGGAGGAUGUUCCAUAUCUGAGUCCCAGGGCUGCAUUCUGCCUGAGAUACAUGAUCAACUGCCUAAAUACCCUAACUGGAUCAGAUCUUAUCUGAUAUUAGAAGUUAAGUAGGGUCAACACUGUCUGGACAUCCAGAUUCAAAUUAUGGUCUGCUUUGUGGUAAAGGGCUGGUGUAGACAAGCCCAAAGUCAAAUACAAACCUUGGUGUACAGUCAAAUUCCAUCCCAUCAAGGUAGUUAUGCAGCAGUGGAAGUAGUAACCCUUGAUAGGUUCAAGGAGCACAGUGCAUCUUUGCCAAAUCUUCAGGAGUUCCCCAUUUAUUUAUUUUUUCCAAAGAAAUCCAUCCUUUUCCAGAGUAGACUGAAUACAGCCUAGUCAGACAGAUGGACUGCAUGCUGAUUGCAUUUCUUGUUUUAUCUGGGCUAUUUCUCCAUUUGUUGGCCAUUAC